GAAAUGCGAUAAGUAAUGUGAAUUGCAGAAUUCAGUGAAUCAUCGAAUCUUUGAACGCACAUUGCGCCCGUCAGCAUUCUGGCGGGCAUGCCUGUUCGAGCGUCAUUUCAACCCUCAGGACCCCCCUUUCGCGGGGAGGGACCUGGCGUUGGGGAUCGGCCCGCCCCCCGCGGCGGCGCCGUCCCCGAAAUCUAGUGGCGGUCUCGCUGCAGCCUCCCCUGCGUAGUAGUUACAACCUCGCAUCGGAGCGCGGCGCGGCCACGCCGUAAAACCCCCGACUUUCUGAAAGUUGACCUCGGAUCAGGUAGGAAGACCCGCUGAACUUAAGC
rnacentral:misc_RNA from 1 species